UCAUCAUAUAAGUUUUUAAAAUUUUCCUGGUAAUCAUAUGCCUGCUUAUAUAAUUCGUGCAAACUAACAUUCAUAAAAAUAAUGAUUUAUUAUCUACUGGAUUAGCAUGUACAGUACUUUUAAAAUCAAUCAAGACGUUUUUCCUUUUACUCCUCUUUUUAAAUUUCAAUUUUGUGCAAAUUGUAUUGUGACUACACUGUGAGUGGAAAUACUACCGUCCAAUUUAAAGUCUCUAAAGAAAGUGAUAACAAGGAAACAACAGCUUCAUGCUCUCAUUUUCCUCAAGACGAUUCGAGGUACUGUAUAGAAUUAGCAAAAUGUUGAAUGUUUGUAUACUUCUUGUUCUGUCUCCAUUGUGGCCCCAUUUUACGGAUAGCCAUCUAUAUGUAGAGCCUGGCGGUACAAUUACAAAAGAAUUUGGGGAAACGUUUGUGUCGUUUUGUCACUACAACGGUACCAAGGAACACCGAUGGAGCUUUGGAAGUCAAAUAAUAACAG